UACGUAGGGUGCGAGCGUUGUCCGGAAUUACUGGGCGUAAAGAGCUCGUAGGUGGUUUGUCGCGUUGUCCGUGAAAACUCACAACUCAAUUGUGGGCGUGCGGGCGAUACGGGCAGACUGGAGUACUGCAGGGGAGACUGGAAUUCCUGGUGUAGCGGUGGAAUGCGCAGAUAUCAGGAGGAACACCGGUGGCGAAGGCAGCUCGCUGGGACGUUACUGACGCUGAGGAGCGAAAGCGUGGGGAGCAAACAGG
rnacentral:rRNA from 1 species